UUUAAGUGUAGUUGUAAGUUUUCAUGUUCAACGUUUGACCAUCCGUAUUAUAUAAUUUUUUUGUGAUUAGUAUUUUCGUUGUUAUUAGAUGAUAAAACAUGAAUCGUAAUUUGUGAUUUAUUUUUUAUUUUUUUUCAAAAUAAGAUGGAUGAUCAAAUAUUAAACACGAAUCCUCACAACUAUGAUUAAA
rfam:Oryza meridionalis cultivar OR44 (W2112) chromosome 3, whole genome shotgun sequence.